GAUACAGAGAUUACCAUGGAUCCUGCCUAAGGAGGAUAUGCAAAUUGCGAACUAUUCCAUAUUUUU
rnacentral:snRNA from 1 species